UCGAGCGAGGUCUUCGGGCCUAGCGGCGGACGGGUUAGUAACGCGUGGGAACGUGCCCUUCACUACGGAAUAGUCCCGGGAAACUGGGUUUAAUACCGUAUACGCCCUUCGGGGGAAAGAAUUUCGGUGAAGGAUCGGCCCGCGUCUGAUUAGGUAGUUGGUGGGGUAAUGGCCUACCAAGCCUACGAUCAGUAGCUGGUUUUAGAGGAUGAUCAGCAACACUGGGACUGAGACACGGCCCAGACUCCUACGGGAGGCAGCAGUGGGGAAUCUUAGACAAUGGGCGCAAGCCUGAUCUAGCCAUGCCGCGUGAGUGAUGAAGGCCUUAGGGUCGUAAAGCUCUUUCGCUGGGGAAGAUAAUGACGGUACCCAGUAAAGAAACCCCGGCUAACUCCGUGCCAGCAGCCGCGGUAAUACGGAGGGGGUUAGCGUUGUUCGGAAUUACUGGGCGUAAAGCGCGCGUAGGCGGACUGUUAAGUCGGGGGUGAAAUCCCGGGGCUCAACCCCGGAACGGCCUUCGAUACUGGCAGUCUGGAGUUCGAGAGAGGUGAGUGGAAUUCCGAGUGUAGAGGUGAAAUUCGUAGAUAUUCGGAGGAACACCAGUGGCGAAGGCGGCUCACUGGCUCGAUACUGACGCUGAGGU
rnacentral:rRNA from 1 species